rnacentral:rRNA from 1 species
UACGUAGGGUGCAAGCGUUGUCCGGAAUUAUUGGGCGUAAAGAGCUCGUAGGCGGUUUGUCGCGUCGAAUGUGAAAACCCGGGGCUCAACCCCGGGCCUGCAUUCGAUACGGGCAGACUAGAGUUCGGUAGGGGAGUCUGGAAUUCCUGGUGUAGCGGUGAAAUGCGCAGAUAUCAGGAGGAACACCAGCGGCGAAGGCGGCGUCCUGGACUGGUACUGACGCUCAGGAGCGAAAGCGUGGGGAGCGAUCCGG